rnacentral:rRNA from 1 species
GACGAACGCUGGCGGCGUGCCUAAUACAUGCAAGUAGGACGCAGUUGCGAACGGGUGAGUAACGCGUAGGUAACUACCUAUUAGAGGGGGAUAACUAUUGGAAACGAUAGCUAAUACCGCAUACUAGUAGAUGGACCUGCGUUGUAUUAGCUAGUGGGUAGGGUAAUGGCCUACCUAGGCAACGAUACAUAAGCGAGCUGGUGGGGUUGACCGCCAAAAUGGGACCGGAACACGGCCCAGAAUCCCACGGGGGGGAGCAGGAGGGAAUCUUCGGCAAAGGGGGGAACCCUGACCGAGCAACGCCGCGUGAGUGGAGAAGGUUUUCGGAUCGUAAAGCUCUGUUGUUAAGGAAGCGGUACUUAACCAGAAAGGGACGGCUAACUACGUGCCAGCAGCCGCGGUAAUAC